GCUAGGACGAACGCUGGCGGCGUGCCUAACACAUGCAAGUCGAGCGAGGAGAUCCUUCGGGAUGAUCCUAGCGGCGGACGGGUGAGUAACACGUGGGCAACCUGCCUCAUAGAGAGGAAUAGCCUUCCGAAAGGGAGAUUAAUACCUCAUAACAUUGCAGUUUCGCAUGGAACAGCAAUUAAAGGAGUAAUCCGCUAUGAGAUGGGCCCGCGGCGCAUUAGCUAGUUGGUGAGGUAAUGGCUCACCAAGGCGACGAUGCGUAGCCGACCUGAGAGGGUGAUCGGCCACAUUGGGACUGAGACACGGCCCAGACUCCUACGGGAGGCAGCAGUGGGGAAUAUUGCACAAUGGGGGAAACCCUGAUGCCAGCAACGCCGCGUGAGUGAUGACGGCCUUCGGGUUGUAAAGCUCUGUCUUCAGGGACGAUAAUGACGGUACCUGAGGAGGAAGCCACGGCUAACUACGUGCCAGCCGCCGC
rnacentral:rRNA from 1 species